UGGGGAAUCUUAGACAAUGGGCGCAAGCCUGAUCUAGCCAUGCCGCGUGAGUGAUGAAGGCCCUAGGGUCGUAAAGCUCUUUCAACUGUGAAGAUAAUGACGGUAGCAGUAGAAGAAACCCCGGCUAACUCCGUGCCAGCAGCCGCGGUAAUACGGAGGGGGUUAGCGUUGUUCGGAAUUACUGGGCGUAAAGCGUACGUAGGCGGAUUAAUAAGUAAGAGGUGAAAUCCCAGGGCUCAACCCUGGAACUGCCUUUUAAACUGUUAGUCUUGAGAUCGAGAGAGGUGAGUGGAAUUCCAAGUGUAGAGGUGAAAUUCGUAGAUAUUUGGAGGAACACCAGUGGCGAAGGCGGCUCACUGGCUCGAUACUGACGCUGAGGUACGAAAGUGUGGGGAGCAAACAGGAUUAGAUACCCUGGUAGUCCACACCGUAAACGAUGAAUGCCAGACGUCAGCAAGCAUGCUUGUUGGUGUCACACCUAACGGAUUAAGCAUUCCGCCUGUGGAGUACGGUCGCAAGAUUA
rnacentral:rRNA from 1 species